UACGUAGGGUGCUAGCGUUGUCCGGAUUUAUUGGGCGUAAAGGGCUCGUAGGCGGCGUGUCGCGUCGGGAGUGAAAGCCCGCUGCUUAACGGCGGGUUGGCUUCCGGUACGGGCAUCGUUGGAGUGCGGCAGGGGAGACUGGAAUUCCUGGUGUAGCGGUGAAAUGCGUAGAUAUCAAGAGGAACACCAGUGGCGAAGGCGAGUCCCUGGACGAUACCUGACACUGAGGCACGAAAGCUAGGGGAGCAAACAGG
rnacentral:rRNA from 1 species